rnacentral:rRNA from 1 species
AUUGAACGCUGGCGGCAGGCCUAACACAUGCAAGUCGAACGAGUGGCGGACGGGUGAGUAAUGUAUGGGAAACUGCCUGAUGGAUGGGGCUAACUACUGGAAACGGUAGCUAAUACCGCAUACCAUCAGAUGUGCCCAGAUGGGAUUAGCUAGUAGGUGGGGUAAUGGCUCACCUAGGCGACGAUCCCUAGCUGGUCUGAGAGGAUGAUCAGCCACACUGGAACUGAGACACGGUCCAGACUCCUACGGGAGGCAGCAGUGGGGAAUAUUGCACAAUGGGCGCAAGCCUGAUGCAGCCAUGCCGCGUGUAUGAAGAAGGCCUUCGGGUUGUAAAGUACUUGCAGCGGGGAGGCGUUACCCGCAGAAGAAGCACCGGCUAACUCCGUGCCAGCAGCCGCGGUAAUUC